AUGUUUUAAGAUGGGCAGAGGUUAUUAGCGCCUCCCCAGACAAAGAUGGAAGUGCUGUGGAACACAAUUAUAAGCUGUUCUGCUUGAGUUCUUGUCUGUGUUUUUAGCAUUUGUUUUU